rnacentral:tRNA from 1 species
CAAAUUAGAGUUUGAGAGAAAACAUUUUAUUUACAUUAAAAGAUUAAUUGUGUAAUUCAAUUUAAUUUGA